rnacentral:rRNA from 1 species
GGACGUUCGAGUCGUCCCAGGCCCACCACUGAUCCAGAAGGUUGGGCGUCGAUCUGAAGCUCUUGUUGUGCUGAGCGUGCUCUUAGGGGCCAUAGCUCAGUUGGGAGAGCGCGUGCUUUGCAAGCAUGAGGUCGUCGGUUCGAUCCCGUCUGGCUCCACCAUUUCCUGCAUUCCGAUGAGGGAUGCGGUCGAGAUGGUCGGUGGUGAAGCGCUUCAAGCGUGAGAGAAGAACAUCCGGUUCUUUUCUCUUCUGUCCGCACAAUCUGUUUCGCUGAUCCUCAGCAAGCCCCCAUGUGGGCGAGGAUGAGCGCUGCUGUCUGACAUUGUGAAUCUGGGCGUUUUCGAUUUGCUGGCCGCAAGGCUGGCGGGUCGUGACAAUCAAGCUUUCGGGCUUGAGAGGACACGAUCAUCGGGUGCUGACCGCACCGGUGUCGAAAAUGUCGAAGCUGGUCUUUAGCGUCCAGCCCUCUCGCUGAUCCGCCUGGUGCGGAUUGAUGAGAACCUCAGCCGAGGAGUGGGCAUGGACGAUGAGAACGAUCAAGUGUCUUAAGGGCAUUCGGUGGAUGCCUUGGCGCUAAGAGGCGAAGAAGGACGUGGUACGCUGCGAUAUGCUUCGGGGAGCUGC